CAGCAGCCACGGUAAUACGAAGGGUGCAAGCGUUACUCGGAGUUACUGGGCGUAAAGCGUGCGUAGGUGGUGGUUUAAGUCCGUUGUGAAAGCCCUGGGCUCAACCUGGGAAUUGCAGUGGAUACUGGGUCACUAGAGUGUGGUAGAGGAUAGUGGAAUUUCCGGUGUAGCAGUGAAAUGCGUAGAGAUCGGAAGGAACAUCUGUGGCGAAGGCGGCCCCCUGGACAAAGACUGACGCUCAGGUGCGAAAGCGUGGGGAGCAAACAGGAUUAGAUACCCCCGUAUCCCUGUCUCUUAUACA
rnacentral:rRNA from 1 species